GACAGAGGUGCCGAGCGUUAGGCGGAAUCACUGGGCUUAAAGCGUGUGUAGGCGGAUGCCUAAGUACCUUGUGAAAUCCCACGGCUCAACCGUGGAACUGCUUGGUAUACUGGGCGUCUUGAGCCACUUAGGGGCAACCGGAACAAACGGUGGAGCGGUGAAAUGCGUAGAUAUCGGAAGGAACAUCAGUGGCGAAAGCGACUUCCUGGACCAAUACUGACGCUCAUGUGCGAAAGCGUGGGGAGCAAACAGG
rnacentral:rRNA from 1 species